CGUACCUGUAUUAUACACUCCGUCGCAGCCGCUUUUACGGAUACAUCUCGGCCCGUUUAAGGGCAGGCGGACCCCGGUCGUUCUUCGCGCCACUCGCCGACGCGUCACGACCGCGAUAACCGCGAUCGGUUUACCGGAAUCCCCGUGAAAAAAAAACCGCGUCGACAAAUAAUUUCCGAAACGCGUUCCGAGUGCGCACUACU